AUGGGGACACAGUGAGACCCGGGGACACUGAGAGAUCCGGAGACACUUGGUGACACUGAGACACUUGGGGACACUAGGAGACAUGGGGGCACAGUGGCACUUGGAGACAUGGGGGGCACUUGUGGAUACAGACAUAGAGACAUUGGGACACUGGGAGAAAUGGGGUCACAGACACUGGGAGACAUGGGGCACAGACAUUUGAUGACACUGGGAGAAAUGGGGUCACAGACACUAGGGACACAGAUACAUGGGGACACAGACAUUGGGAGACUAGGGGACACUGGGAGACAUGGGGACACAGACACUAGGGACACUGGCUGGGAGGCAUGGGGACACAGUCACUAGGGAGACAUGGGGGCACUUGUGGACAUAGACAUGGGCACACUGGGAGACAUGGGGACACUGAGACACUGGCUGGGAGACAUGGGGACACAGACAUUUGAUGACACUGGGAGAAAUGGGGUCACAGACACUAGGGACACUGAGACACUGGCUGGGAGACAUGGGGACACAGACAUUUGGUAACACUGAGAGACUAGGGGACACUGGGAGACUAGGGGACACUGGGAGCCAUGGGUACACUGAAACACUAGGGACACUGGCUGGUAGACAUGGGGACACUGGGAGACAUGCAGACACUGUGUCUCUAGUGUCUCUGUGUCCCAAUGUGUCUCCCUAUGUCUCACAGCAUCCCCAUGUGUCUGAGUCCCAAUGUCUCACAGUGUCCCCACAUCUCCCAGUGUCGCCUAGUCUCUGUGUCCCCAUGUGUCCCCUAGUCUCUCAGUGUCCCCUAGUCUCUCAGUGUCCCCUAGUGUCUCAGUGUCCCCAUGUCUCCCUGCUGCCUUUCCCCCAUCCUUCACAUAUCUGAGUUGUAGUCUCUCUCUGCAGGCUGGGAGCUGCUGUCUGGACUCUGUGCUGUGUAGCUGCUCCCCCGCAGAUCAGUGAGAAGAGAGAGGCAGGGAGAUGCUGUAACUUACUAUCCCUACUUCUCUCCAUACACAGUGACCCCUAGUGGCCGAUGCUGGUAUUGCAGAGUAAUCUCUGUUUAUACUGAGAAAAAUAUUUGCAUUUGUAUUGCCGGUAUUACUGCAAUACCAUCACAGCCAGGCAGCCUCAAAUACCGGCUAUGCCUUAAAAUACCAGUCUAGUGGCAAACCUAAGAGUAGUGUGUUUUUUGUUUUUUUGUUUUUUUUAAAUGGGCCUGGGCCCAGAGCUGCAGCUCCAUCAGCCCCUAUGUUAAUUCGGCCCUGUUACUCCUGGAUGGCAGCACUUUGAACGCUUAUAUUACUUUGGUAAUGCAGGGGUUAAAGGACCACUAUAGUGCCAGGAAAACAUACUCGUUUUCCUGGCACUAUAGUGCCCUGAGGGUGCCCCCACCCUCAGGGUCCCCCUCCCGCCCGGUUCUGGGAAAGGGGUUAAAACUUACCUUUUUCCAGCGCUGGGCAGAGAGCUCUCCUCCUCCGAUCCUCCUCCGUUCCUCCCCACCGGCUGAAUGCGCACGCGCGGCAAGAGCUGCGCCCGUAUACAGCCGGUUGCAUAGGAAAGCAUUUACAAUGCUUUCCUAUGGACGCUGGCGUGCUCUCACUGUGAAAAUCACAGUGAGAAGCACGCAAGCGCCUCUAGUGGCUGUCAAUGAGACAGCCACUAGAGGAUUAGGGGGAAGGCUUAACCCAUUCAUAAACAUAGC
rnacentral:lncRNA from 1 species